GUCAGGUGGGGUGGUGCACACCUGUAAUUCCAGCCUCCUUUACGAGGCUGAGGCAGGAGGGUCACAAAUCUGAGGUCUGCCUCAGCAACUUAGUGAGAUCCUGUCUCAA
rnacentral:sRNA from 1 species